AAAGAUGCUCAUUUGUUACUACCUAGUAGACUAAAUAUUUUAUUCAUUGUUGUAAAACUAACAUUUUUGUCAGCAGGUGGAGAGACAGUCUGGGCAGCACCAAGCUGACAACUAUUAUGAUUAUGAGUAGGGAUGAUUAUCGAGAACAGGCCUGCCUGACCGUUCUGUUGCCCUGGAUGUGAAGACACACUGGAACUGCAUUUCUCAUGGUUGAAAGAGUUGCGCAUCGAUAUCAGACAUACAAGAAGCCUUCCUGGACCCACACGACAGAAUGCUCAGGAGGAGAGGCAGAUUCAAAGGAAAGGUGAAAAAUGAGGAAGUCUGGGAACCACUGAAGAAGGCAGCCGUAAGGGAAGGCAGUAAUCAUCAGAACGUGCCAGAGAAUGAUAUUGGCAGUACAGGCUCAGGAUGCCGAAGAGGAGGAAGAACAUAUUUGACAUCAGAGUACUCGGGUACUAUGGUCCUUUGGUAAUGACAAUAUUGUUUAGGUUUUGCUUUUGAUAGUGAAGCAGUAUUGAAACACAUCACCAUCAGAUAUUUGUAGCAGGUGUUUCAUACACAGAACACUCAGGAAACAAAUUAACUUAAAGUAAUAAAGAAGUCACUACUGAAUUUUUUCCUUUCUUUUUAUCAGUGUCUUUUUUUUAUACCAGAUUAUAGGGAGUUGUCAAUGAGUAUUGAUUAAUUAUUGAUCAUUUUUACAGAUAAAAUCGUUAACUAUACCCAUCAGUAAUGAGAAACUUUUCAGUAAAAUUAAAACACUUCAGUAAAAUUUACAUGAUUUAUGUAUUGAUGUGUUAAAUUAUCUGUGCUCAUGACUUGGUAACACUUUGCAUGGUUAAAGAAUAGGUGUAAUGUUCAAAAUGUAUUCGCUUAGUGUUUGUAGAAAUAACACUGAAUAAAUGCUGAUUAAUAAAUGAAUGCACUGUUUUUGCUCAUUUAAUGUUUAGAAUGUAAUGUUUUUGUAAUGGUUUGCAUGUAUGUAUUGAAUAUAUUCACUAAAAUCUCCUAU